CUGCCGAGGAGAGCCAGGGGCUGGCGCAGACCCUGGCAGGGUUCAGUGAGGGGCUCCUGAGCCAUCGCUCCCACCUCUGCUGCUGGGGCUGCCCAGCAGCUACUCCCCAAGGCAGGAGGGUUUGCGUUAAACCAGAGCGAGCUGGAGCCUGCGGCAGCCCAGGGGCCGGUGUGGCCACAGGGCUGGAUGUCAGCGGUGUCCCCAGCCAUGGCAGGGACUGGCAGCCACACGCAUCCCCUGCCCUGGAUUCGUGCGCUUCUCAAAGCCAAAUCCUGUAAGACUCCAUGAGCAGUACCCCUAAAUUCCUAGGACCUUUUUACAUGUGGGAUUUAACUCGCGUGCAAAAGUAUUUCCAGGACUAGGCCUCGCCUAAACUACCCAUGGUUGCCUGAGUGUAAGUUCCUCUUCAACCAAAGACCAGUUGUUACCUGCACACUGUUAACAUCCCAAACUGCUGCAACACCACACCACCCACUCUGUGACCGCAGAUCGUUCCAGCAGAGCCCUGAGACAAGUUUCCCACUUAUGUGUUGCUUUUCACACCACCUACUAUAAUAACAAGUUACAACAUUGCCAAUGCCCAGGUAACCAGCGCAGUGGAGUUUGUGAAUGGGUGCAUGUAGAAGGGCUGAAACUAAAUUAUUUUUGCAACUGCCUCUGUUCAGCCUUAAUAUUAGCAUUAAUACUUUAAUUUUCCUCAUUUAAAUACAAUAAAAGGGAAAAUUACCUUCACUUAAUAUUGUUACUAAUCAGGUUUUGCAAUUCCAGUUUUUAUAGGGAGAUAAAGUCAGGGAGAAGUUAGUGUACACCUUUUUUGUUACUGGGCUUUGUGCUCUCAGCCACAGCAUAUUUUAAAUGGUGAGAUCCCUAUUGCAGAUGGAAAAAGAGUUGGGGAAAAAAGAAAUCCUUUUUGGAGUAUUGUACCAUUCAAACACCAUUUUAAAGAGUCUGAAAUUGAAAGCACCUUUUUUUUUUUUUUUUUAAACCCAAGCUACUCAAGAUGCUUUCUGGCUUGGCUAGAAAGACAAGUUUGUUUCACGUUUCUGUUUUGGAAUUGGUUUAAACUGCUUUUAGGCUAAAUUCUUGCCUGUCUUUACUGUCUCAGCAGAGUACAGAGUACAUUACUGAUACAUGUUUUUGAUAGACUUGAAAAGCAGUGUGUACAGCUUGAUUGUUGUCUGUAUUUCGCCAUUCAUUUUUAAGUGAGGCUCUUCUGAUUGAUGUGGGGAAUUUGUUUGAAAGGAUGAAGGGUAUGGCAUAGCUACCCAACAUGCUCCUUACAAUUACGCCAUACCUCAGCUAACAGAGAGAUUUUUCGUUGUGAUUGUUACACUUCUAAAAGCAAAUUAGUUAAUCAAAUUGCUAUUUUUGGAAUGCACUUAAAGGAACAUUAAAAUGCAUUAAUUUCAUUAAAAUAAAUGAGCAGAUAGGUAGCAAAACAAGUAUCAGUCAAAUAAGCAAGUUCUCAACUGUGGAGCCAAAUUCAGCCCUAGUGAAAUCAUCCGAGUUGUGCUUGUGUACAGCACAUUUAAUUUGGCUUCUGCAGUCACACAGCUGACACUUUAUUUGGUUGUCAAAGGUGUGUAUAUUAAAAAUGUGUGAGCCAUGCUUCUUCUCGAAUGUGAUUAACCUCUGAAGUUAAAUUCACCUGUUUUCCAUUUAGCUCAGCUGUGCGGUCCUACAGCAUAUGCAGUUUCUGGUGUGCGUACACACCAGAGAUGCAGAGAGGCAUUCCCAGCCCCAGUAUUAGUCUAAGGGACGUGACUUGUAUCUGAAGUGGGGGUGCAAUGAGGUGGAUUUCAACUGGGGCUGUUCACAACCAGCUGCGUGUAUAUGCUCCAGUUAAUAGGCUGUACUGAAGUCUCUGCUACCAUCUUUCAUUACUGUUGUUACUCAUGCCAGUGAGAGUAAAGGAAAGGUUGGUGUGUCUGUAAUCACGCGUUCAUUUGCUAUGUAGAUAUAUCCUCAGAGCCUCUCAGCCCAGGAAAAUUAUGUUGGAAUAAGGUCGGAUGUGAAUGUAAAGCAAAACUAUGUUCAGAUAGUUUAUUCACUCUGGAAUGACUGAGUUGUUUCCUAGUUUCACUUAAGCCACCUUCAAAGUGGAUUAAGGUAAUUCAAGAAAGUGAAUUCUUAUGCUGGCAUAAGAUUUGUCUACACAUGGGUUUAGUUGGAGGUAAUUACUGCAGUGUACCGAAUAAGUGUCUUGGAAUAAUUUGGUGUGUAGACAAAUCCAAAGUCCCACAGGUGAAAACAACAGAAUUUAGUCUUUCUGUAGAACAUGAGGUUAAUUUAGCCGAACAUCUGACCUACUUCUUUCCUCAUGAAGCAUAUUUAAUUCAUUACAGGUUUUUUUUCCUCAACGACAAAAACCCCACAACAGGUAUGUAUUUAUGAUCAGUGGCAAGAUAGCAAUGCCAUGUGUACUCCACUAAAAAUAAACAAUUUAACCAGUAUAUACUCUAAAUAUCUUUUCAACUGCCUUAAAGUGGACACUAGGUUCUUUACUGGAGAAAAUAUCAGCUUCUCCAUUGUAAAUAUUUUGAGUGGGUUGUUAUAAACAAAAGGAAAACAAAUCCCAAAGCUCUCCUCUGUUCUUUUAAACACCCAUGAUCCAUUUGACUGCAUUCCAUGCAUAGCAAUAGCACCCAUUCUAACUCAGCAAUAUUAAUUCCUGAACAAGGAACCUUACAGACUCACACAGAAGGUUUUGCAGAACAACUGGGUCUUCAGGAGGCACCUUAAGAACAGAGGGCUAAUUUAUAGUUUGCUUACAGAGAUCUGAACGAGGAAGAACCUACCUGAAACCCAGGCAGCUACUCUGCUCUAAAUCAGAUGUACUGCUGCUACACAGGAAAGUUACUGAAUUGAUAAUGAGUACAUACAGCCUUUUUUGUGACUUUGUGCCAAUCACAAAUUUUGUGAAAUGUCUUUCAGUGUCAUCCCAUGCCACAGACCUCCAUGGAAGAGAGACAACUCUCUGACAUGAAUUCAAACUCCUAAACAACUGUUUGUUGAAUUUUUUUUCAGCAUUUUUUCCUUUUUGGUUUUUUUUUGGGGGGGUAGGGGAAAUGAAAAACCAAAAACUAUAUGAGAAGGAAAUUAUGUAAGCUCAGCUGGUAAAACAGCAAAUUUUUUUGAAAGAAGCAUAAAUAUAAAAGCCACAUCCUGUAAAUUGCUGACCUUUAAACAUUGACAUGGAAAAAACCAUUAAAAUCUAUGAAGAUAACAAAACCCAACUCCUACUUCAUGUGAAAGACUGUAAUGUGGCAAGGCAGAGGGUACCCAGAGGUCUUCCCUUACACCAAUUCAGUAGACCCAGCACUCUGUGUAAUAGGCAGUGAUGCCAACAUAGGAUUCUCAUUCCUGAGCUCAAUUUAUGAUUACGAGCAUGGCUUUGCUCUCCUGUGCUUGCCUUGGUUGAGGAUAUAGAGAAUAGAUUACAUAUGCAACUCCAUCAUGCCAAACCUGUUUAUUUAAGUAAGAAACAUUCUUGCAAGAAAAUAAACAUUGACUAAAGAAGGUACAACAUGGAUAAACAGAAAACAAAAAAUCAAGUUCUUGGAUUCUGUGGCGCUGGGUAACUUAGACCAUGGUCCUGAUAUUAAGGCUCAAACUAAACUCAGAUUGAAGGCAAUUAGAGUUUUAGACCAUAUAUGAGCGUGCCUGAUCUGAAAUCCCUCUUGCAUAAAAAAUUAGAUUAGAUUAGUUUAUGCUGUGCUUCCACUGAGAGAUCUCUGAGUGUUGGAGCCACCUGCACUGGUGGGGUGUCCUGGCUCUCCCCCACUUCUGUCAUUACAGGGGAAUUACUCAUCUAGUGAGGAAGGUGUCUAAGUCUCCGAGAUGAUGGCACAACACACGCAAGAGGAAAUCGCAGUGCACAGCCAAUGCAAUGAAAUGAAGGAUCCUCUAUGGGAGUUGGAGGCUACAGUCAUGCUCUCUGCUGCUUUUCUCUUGCCUGAAUAUCCUGAAAUGCUGAUGGUAGAGCUUCAAAAGGAAGAGCAGAAGAAGCCUAUGCAUAGAAUAGUUUAUAUACUGGAAGGAGAGAAAACAUGAAACCCUGAACGCGAAUUCUCCAGCUGCUGUAUUUCAUAUAAAAACAGAUGUACUGAUACUAAUGCAGUCAAGAAGAAAGGUUGAGAUUGCAGAACUUCACCUGGCAUGUUAAGUUUAACGAUAAAUUGGUCAAUAUUGGAUUUUAAACAAUUUCUUAUUGAAGGACCUCAACUGCCUCAACUCCAUCUAGACCCUGCUUGAAGCACACUGAUAAUAACCCAGCUUGAGAAGUUCAGUGAGUGCUCUGACUUCUCAGAAUGUGUCAGUACAUCCCCAGGCACAUACAAAAAGCUGCUCUUGCAUAGAUGUGAUAGAUAUAGGUAGAAAAUGGUGUACAGAAGCAUGUAGGGAGGCCUUUCUGAGCAUCAGCUAGGGUGACAAAGCCUGUUGGACCAUGGAUUCCCAGGCUGUGUUCACAACCCUGGAAUGCCUGCUGGAAACACUCCCCUGUAAUUUAGCUCAUUUGGUGUGCAUUAAAGAUGCUCAUUUCUAGACCCCUAAGUGAAACGUGAUACUGAACCCAUCCAUCCUCUCAUACCAGCAGGCAUAUAUCUAGCAGAUGGCCAAGAGGCUGAUGGAAAGGAGAGAACACCAGUUUUAAUCCAGUUGUUCAUUAUGGAAAAUUAUGAGAAAAGUGAAAGAUCUCAUUCCACAGACCAAGACGUUUACUUUUAUUUAACUGUGUAGCCCCAGACAAAACUCUGAAUUCCAUUACUAUAUGUGAAUGUUAUGGUGUGGUGAAGUCUUAUUUGGUAAUUACCAGGUCAGAGCCACAGACUAGAAAACAGAUAUGCAGCCCAACUCACAUGAAAUCAGUGGAGUCAUACCAGUUUAUACUAGCUGAGAAUCCAGUCUUCAAUUUCUAAUUAAAAAAUUGAGAAAGUGCAGUUUUCUGUGAUAUUUUGGUCAUACUAUACAGAAAAAGCAAUGAAGUAACAAGUUAUAGAUAUUUAUAUAGCCAACACAGAAGCAGAACCAAUGUGAAAUCUUUAGCAAUGAAGUCCUACGACCACAUUAUUACGUAUUUCAGCACUGGUGCCAUGUGGAUUACUGCUUAACUUUAGGGCAGCAAGGUAAGCUCAUUUUCUUGCCUUUGUCUUUUUAGUCACCAUUAGGGCUACAACCUUCCCAUCCUCCCAGUACAACCCCCAGGGAGGGGGGUAGAAGUUACACAAUAGGUGUUUUUCCGUCGGCGGAUGUCUAAAUGUGAAGAGAAACAAUUGAAUUUUAAUGACAAUUUUGAGACGCUUGAAGUUCAUUUCUGGGCAGUGCAGAAAUUAGUAGUUCUUGCUGCUGCCAGAAGCUGCAUGCUCUCCUCUCCUGAUGUUAGCAGGAUUACAGGUCCUCGGCUUUUGGCAGAAACAACUCCCAAAGUAGUUGGUCCUUUUCUCAUGUCACAAAAGGCAGGGUGAGAGACCUGCUGCUGUCAGAUCAAACUGAGUAGCAAUGCAGAGCAAGCAUGACAAAAAAUAGGGUGUCUGCCCCAGAUUUACACUACCAGAGAUGCAUUCUCAUUAGGUAUUUACAGCAUAGUAGCAUUGUCCACGGUAAGAAGGUGAAUUUGUUAAGUGCUGCACAAAACAUUUAAUCAGAAAAAAUUCGUGCAUACAAAAGCCCUACAAAAAAGAUUGCGGAAGGAGUGUGGCAAACAAUGGGAUAUCCUGGGGAAAAAAGUACACCAGUAAUUGCUGCGAAGGCAGCCAGCUAUGGAGGCUUUUCGUACAUCCAGGGUAAUGAUAAUUCUGCCAAGGAGGCAAGUUGUUUAUUUCCUUUUUAGCUAUGACAUUUCCUUUGCAUUACUGAAUCAUGGUUUGCUAAUAGCUUACAAACAUCAAGUUUAUAAAGCUUUAGAAUCCUUGUCAUAUCUUAGAUAAUAUGUAUCAAUUUAUCAAAAGCUCUAUAAAAAUAUGUAAUCCAAUAGGUUAUGGGGUUGGGCUUGUUUGGGUUUGGGUUUUUUUAAUAACUUCAGUAAAGAAGGGAUAAUUUUAGUCUUGUUUUUGUCUUCUUAGAAGAUUCAGAUAUUAAUAAAAAUGAUAGUCCCUAAAUCUAUAUGUAUCUACUUGUAGAUGAGGAAAUAGAAAAUAUAAGAUGCUUCAAAAUAGCGCCAGUCAUUUAAUCUGCUCUGUAGUUGCAUGGCACUGUGUCAACCAUUUUCACCAAAAGCAGGAGACCCACUGCAGAGCACUGUCUUUUCAAUUUUGGGCUAGGCAAUCAUAGCCCCAAAGAGGUCAUGAAAGGGAUCAGCCUUCCCCAUGUUACCCCUCUGGUCAGAUGGCAGUUCCAACCAAAAAGAGAGAAGAAAAGAGGACAGCCGUAGGCACCUGGCGUUGCCUUCUUGCACAGAAAAAAGCAGGCAGGGGAGGAGGGACCUGGUUGGAAGAGCACACGUAUGA